GUGGAUGUAGCUCAGUUGGUAGAGCGCUUGCCUAUAAUGUAUGACAUAAUCCCAGGGCUUAGAAGGUAGAGAAAGGAUCCAUUGGUAAAGUGUCUGCCAUACAAGGGUAAGGUCCUGAGUUCAAUCCCCAGCACCCAUA
rnacentral:tRNA from 1 species